rnacentral:rRNA from 1 species
CCUACGGGAGGCAGCAGUGAGGAAUAUUGGUCAAUGGCCGGAAGGCUGAACCAGCCAUGCCGCGUGAAGGGCAGGGCCCUAUGGGCGUUAAACUUCUUUUGUGCGGGAGCAAUAAUGGUCACGUGUGGCCAGACGAGAGUACCGUACGAAUAAGCAUCGGCUAACUCCGUGCCAGCAGCCGCGGUAAUACGGGGGAUGCAAGCGUUAUCCGGAUUUAUUGGGUUUAAAGGGUGAGUAGGCUGUGAUGUCAGUCAGCGGUGAAAGGCCCCCGCGCAACGGGGUGAAGUGCCAUUGAUACUGCCUUGCUGGACUGCGUAUGCCGUGGGAGGAAUGUGUGGUGUAGCGGUGAAAUGCAUAGAUAUCACACAGAACACCGAUUGCGAAGGCAUCUCACGAAUCCGCGAUUGACGCUGAUGCACGAAAGCGUGGGUAUCAAACAGGAUUAGAUACCCGUGUAGUC